GAUGAACGCUGGCGGCGUGCCUAAUACAUGCAAGUCGAGCGAACAGACGAGGAGCUUGCUCCUCUGACGUUAGCGGCGGACGGGUGAGUAACACGUGGAUAACCUACCUAUAAGACUGGGAUAACUUCGGGAAACCGGAGCUAAUACCGGAUAAUAUAUUGAACCGCAUGGUUCAAUAGUGAAAGACGGUUUUGCUGUCACUUAUAGAUGGAUCCGCGCCGCAUUAGCUAGUUGGUAAGGUAACGGCUUACCAAGGCGACGAUGCGUAGCCGACCUGAGAGGGUGAUCGGCCACACUGGAACUGAGACACGGUCCAGAGUCCUACGGGAGGCAGCAGUAGGGAAUCUUCCGCAAAGGGCGAAAGCCUGACGGAGCAACGCCGCGUGAGUGAUGAAGGUCUUCGGAUCGUAAAACUCUGUUAUUAGGGAAGAACAAAUGUGUAAGUAACUAUGCACGUCUUGACGGUACCUAAUCAGAAAGCCACGGCUAACUACGUG
rnacentral:rRNA from 1 species